rnacentral:rRNA from 1 species
UACGUAGGCAGCGAGCGUUGUUCGGAGUUACUGGGCGUAAAGGGUGUGUAGGCGGUUGUUUAAGUUUGGUGUGAAAUCUCCCGGCUCAACUGGGAGGGUGCGCCGAAUACUGAAUGACUUGGAGUGCGGGAGAGGAGAGUGGAAUUCCCGGUGUAGCGGUGAAAUGCGCAGAUAUCGGGAGGAACACCCGUAGCGAAGGCGGCACUCUGGGCCGGAACUGGACGCUGAGGAGCGAAAGCGUGGGGAGCAAACAGG